CCUUGCAAUCAUGAAAGGUACUCUCGAUGUUAUUGGUUCUACUUGCGCAGUAAAUUGAUCCCAUUGUGAGAUAUAUCCGUUUGCAUAAGGGAGAUCUCCAAUAAGGAAAACCGCGUCAAUGUUAUCAAGGUCCUUAAUAAGGGUGUCAGUUGUCAUAAGUGAACCUGGCUGAUAAUCAGCAUAUUCAUUUGAACCAUCGCGCUCUUGCU